rnacentral:lncRNA from 1 species
AAUAACUCCGACCCCGGCUCCUAACACUUCCCACACUAAUCAGAACGGAUUCAACUUCAAUUCCCCUGUUGCAUCUUUCACGGCGCCUGUUACAGACACAACAAAUACAUCUUCCGGGUAAGUGCUCAUUCUAUUUCCAGAUUUUCCACCGUGAAAAGUAGAUCAUCAAAAUAUGCUAUAAUGUUUCACACGUUUCUUACUUGAAUCAUGUGCGGAAACAUUGCAGAACCGAGCUGCAAGCAGAAGGUGCUCCUGUUGAUACUAGCAUCUGGUUAAAGGAGAAAUGGAAUCCUGGAGAGGUAAACGGCUCAAAAAUCCUUUAAGUUAAAUUACAAAAUUUUACUGCAAGACUAUAAUAUUGAGAUUAUACUGUUGCUUGUUUGCCUGCAGAUUCCGGAGCAAGCGCCGCCUAGUGCAUUUGUAUAACAAUACUGAAAGAGUC